AAUAGAUACCCCGGUAGUCCUAGCCGUAAACGAUGGACACUAGGUGUUGGUGGUAUCAACCCCGCCAGUGCCGUAGCUAACGCAUUAAGUGUCCCGCCUGGGGAGUACGGCCGCAAGGCUAAAACUCAAAGGAAUUGACGGGGGGCCCGCACAAGCAGCGGAGCGUGGGGUUUAAUUCGAUGCGACGCGAAGAACCUUACCAGGGCUUGACAUGGUCAGGAAUCCGGCGGAAACGUCGGCGUCCCGCAAGGGACCUGAUCACAGGUGUUGCAUGGCUGUCGUCAGCUCGUGUCGUGAGAUGUUGGGUUAAGUCCCGCAACGAGCGCAACCCUACUGUGUGUUGUAUCACUCACACGGGACUGCCGAGAGAAACUCGGAGGAAGGCGGGGAUGACGUCAAGUCAGCAUGGCCCUUACGCCCUGGGCUACCACCCACGCUACAAUGGCCGGUACAACGGGCUGCGAAACCGCGAGGUGGAGCCAAUCCCUUAAAAGGCCGGUCUCAGUUCGGAUCGCAGGCUGCAACUCGCCUGCGUGAAGCCGGAGUUG
rnacentral:rRNA from 1 species